AUUGAACGCUGGCGGCAUGCUUUACACAUGCAAGUCGAACGGUAACAGGUUAAGCUGACGAGUGGCGAACGGGUGAGUAAUGCAUCGGAACAUGCCCGAUCGUGGGGGAUAACGCAGCGAAAGCUGCGCUAAUACCGCAUACGAUCUGAGGAUGAAAGCGGGGGACCGUAAGGCCUCGCGCGAUCGGAGCGGCCGAUGUCAGAUUAGGUAGUUGGUGGGGUAAAGGCUCACCAAGCCAACGAUCUGUAGCUGGUCUGAGAGGACGACCAGCCACACUGGGACUGAGACACGGCCCAGACUCCUACGGGAGGCAGCAGUGGGGAAUUUUGGACAAUGGGCGAAAGCCUGAUCCAGCAAUGCCGCGUGCAGGAAGAAGGCCUUCGGGUUGUAAACUGCUUUUGUACGGGGCGAAAAGGCUCUCUCUAAUACAGGGGGCUCAUGACGGUACCGUAAGAAUAAGCACCGGCUAACUACGUGCCAGCAGCCGCGGUAA
rnacentral:rRNA from 1 species